GGGGGAAGCAAGGGUGUGCUUUCAGUGUGGCCUCUAACAUCAGUGUGUUUUGUUCCUUGCCUAAGAGGAAUACUCUGAGUGUCCAGACAGCAUGCAAUUAAAUUCCAAAGAGCGUUGGUUUGAUGUGGCCUCUGCCUUCUCACUGGCUAAUCGAGCUCCACUGGGACUGGAGAUGGGUUCCAAGAAAGUACAAUUGAUUAGAUGCAUAUUUUCUGAAUUAUACAACAGAUCACACCCAGCUGCACAGCUUUUCUCAGGUGCUGAAUUCUUGAAAUUACUGCCCAUCUGA
rnacentral:lncRNA from 1 species